rnacentral:rRNA from 1 species
GGGGUCAGUAGGUUGGUCGUGCCACCGGUACGUACUGGUCUCACUGAUUCCUCCUUCCUGAAGAACCGUAAUGCCAUUAAUUUGGUGUUGCGGGGAAACAGGACUGUUACUUUGAAAAAAUUAGAGUGUUUAAAGCAAGCUAACGCUUGAAUACAUUAGCAUGGAAUAAUGAAAUAGGACGAUCGAUCCUAUUUUGUUGGUUUCUAGGAUUGACGUA